CUCUCGCCUUGACUGUGCUGAGCUCCUCUUUGUUGACAUGCUGGAGGGCGGGGCCUGGGGGGAGUGCCGCAAUUACACACUGGCUCUCUCUUUUCUUUCAGGCUCUGCACAAACUCGCAGCAGACAAUCUGGAGCUGAUGCUGAGGGGUUUUUUGUCAGAGGCCCCAACCACACAGCAUCUCUUGUCCCUCCUGGAGCACAUCAACAUCUGGAUCCUCUCCAGGAAUGCCCAGGAGAGAGCACGAGCCAGCAAACAAUGCGCCAGCUUGCUCCGCUUUAGUGUCAUGAUGCCUGAUUGUGAUAACUCUGCAGAACUCCCCAGUUUGGGCCACCAUGUGGCGAAACUUGGAAUCUGCAUAAUGGAUUGCAGGAGGGAUGUCAGCCGAUACGCCAGGGAGGGAAUCUACCGGCUCCUAGAGGUGCUUCUCAACCACAAAGGCCAGAGCAGCAGAGACGCUGGGGAGCUGUGGAGCCGGAGAUGGCAGGAGGAGGAAAGAAUUCUGGCCUAUCUGAACACCGCCAGAGUUGGGGAGGUUUUUAGGGAGAUCUUUAAUAAAGAUCAGGAAAGAUCCUUCCUGAGGACCACGAUUUGGGCCAUUAAUCAUCCCCUCCACAGGGUUAAGGAGGCUGGACUGAUCCUGCUGUACUCCCUCCUGGGCAAGGCCGAUGCACUGAUGGGGUAUGAGGAGGAGGAAAUCCGGAGGAAAAUCUGGCGUCGUCUCCGCCAAAUCAAAGAAAGCAAAGGGCUGCCUGAAGAAAUCGAAGGUAUCUUAAAAAACCAAGUGCAGUUGAUACAGAGAAAGGUGAAAUGGCAGCUCCAUCUGGGGAGAAGUAUAUGGAUAUUUCAGUUGCCAUACAAACUUUAAAGAUUACAGACAAAGACGACUUUCUCGACCCAAAGAAGCUUCUACCACUGUGUGAAAUUUCCAAAUGAACUUCAGAAAUUGAGGAACUUCAAACAUGCAAAGAGGUCUACGGAUGAAGUGCAAGGAUAUGGCAGAAUCUCACCAACCCCCCUCCCCCCCAUCAUUUCACAAGCUUACCAAACAUUGUACCUUUAAAAGGAAGCAGGAUAAUGCUUUUUGUCCCAGAGGAGGAGUCACAGAAGUCUGAGAGGAAGGGGGGAAACUGGGGAUUGAGACAGAACUAUUAAAGGAGCUGAGCAGUCUCCAAAUUUGACCUCCAUCCCUGUAGCCCACAUCCUGCUUCCUUACCUACAUCUAGAGGAUGAGGUGACCGGACAGAUGGAAGGCCUGCAUCUGCCUCCACCUAAGAACCCAUCCUGCUUCAGCUACAGGCGUCUUCAUCAUGAGCCCUAUCACCCAAUGAAAUCAUCUGAAGAGGUUCAUCUGCGGUUGCCACUAGCCCAAGUGGUGGCUACACAGGGACGGGCCUUCUCUGUGGUCGCCUCGAGACUCUGGAAUGUGCUCUCUGCUGAAAUAAGAGCCUCCCCAUCUCUGACAACGUUCAAGAAACCUUUCAAGAAACAUUUUUUCACCAAAGCCUUUUAACUUGACUUGUGGUUUUAAAUCGUUUUUAAAAUGUCUGUUUUAUUUUGCUUUAUGUUUUUGUAAACAAAAUAAAUUUUCAC